rnacentral:misc_RNA from 1 species
GAAUGGAAAGUGCCAAAUUUCUUGCCAUUCUUUCCCAAAAUUGUUAUAACUGACAAUUAGAGAAGAUGACGUACUUUGAUACACAGAAAUACAGAGAAAAGAUGACCUAUACCCAUUUCCCCCAGUAGAGAAGACUCUUUGGUUUUAUUCCUUAUUCAGCAGGUUCUUAUUUAAAAAUGUAAUUAAGCUAGAAACUGGGUUUUUGUAACCAUGACGUACCGACACAUUGAAAUGUCAGCAUUAAUUAGAUAGACAAGAUUUGUUUUACUGCAGUAUCAUUGCUGAGUGACUAUAUACAAGUAAACAAGAUCUAAAAGUAACAAGACUUAUUUCCCUUACACAGUAAGAUUCAGAGAAUGGCAUACAGAAUCAUGGUAUCACCGAGUAUUUUCACUUGCUCUAAAUGUUUUUUUAUGAAAUAUUUUUAUAUGUUGCUCAACUUUUAAUAUUUAAUGAGUGACAUCUCUUGACAUGCGCACAACUGAAUACUUUGUAUUUCUUCACAUCUUUUAUCAUUACAAUUUAGUGAUUGUUUCAUAGAAUUUUUUCUCUGGCAGAUGAUUACAUUUCAUAUUGGCUAAUACAUGUACAAUCAUUGGAGUUAAAAAUACUGUCAGUAUAUGUCUGAUUUUACUCUUCAACAAGCUCAAUUUUUGUUUUUGAGUUUUGUUUUAGAUGUUGACUUUAUUUUAAUUGAUUUUGAUAAGUAAAAAAACAUUGCCAGCACUUGGAAUUGAAAUGAUAAACUGGCAUAUCGAUUAGACUCUCAAUAUCAUUUUCUUUCUUUUCUCCUAUUGUUUAAACAAUUGGAAGAUUUAAGAGAAUGUACUACAGAUUAUGUAUUCAAUAUUUCAUAAGUGCUUUGGUGAGGAAUAAAUUUUGACAAAGAAUUCCAUGAAUUAAAAUGUCUCGCCUUGUGUGUCCUUCCGUUUGUUUCCAUUGACUUAUGAUGUUAGAAGUAACGUUUGUAUGAUGUAUUUAUAAAUUCAUUGAUUCGUUUAGUCCAUUCUGACUUCCUAUUAAAACGUUCUUACUCUAG